UUCCAACCUAAUAAAAAAAUCCCUAAUGGCUAUCAUCUGCAACUUGCGUUACAUGGUCAGGCCAUCAUCCUGGGCCUUUUACUUGUUGGUCUCACUGCAUUUGGAUUGCGUUCAACAUAUAUUAUUUUAAUUCCCCUAGUAUUCUAUGUGUUAUCUUUGGCCUUUAACUUAUUGACGGUUCUACACGAUCGUGGCUAUGCCUGGACGGGACUUCUUAAAGCCAGUCAGAUAAUUCCUUUCCUUCACACCACCUAUAUAGUUUAUAUUCUGCUUGUGGCUCUUAUUCCGAUUUGUGCUCGAUCAGGGAGUGCUUCCAAUAAGGACUUGUACAUAGCUGUCAUCACAGCACUAGGAACGGUUCUUUCGUUUGGUUUCUUGGUUCCACUCAUUAAUAUUGUCCGACGCCCAAUCUUAGUGGUGUUCUCUCUGUUGGCGAUCUCAGCUCUUUCCAUAUACUUAGCAAGUAGCACACAAAUCGGGUUUCCAUUUCGACCAAAGACAAGCGGACAGCGUGUGGCCUAUCUGCAAGUACGCAA